rnacentral:rRNA from 1 species
AUUGAACGCUGGCGGCAGGCCUAACACAUGCAAGUCGAGCGGAUGAAGGGAGCUUGCUCCUGGAUUCAGCGGCGGACGGGUGAGUAAUGCCUAGGAAUCUGCCUGGUAGUGGGGGAUAACGUCCGGAAACGGGCGCUAAUACCGCAUACGUCCUGCGGGAGAAAGUGGGGGAUCUUCGGACCUCACGCUAUCAGAUGAGCCUAGGUCGGAUUAGCUAGUUGGUGGGGUAAAGGCCUACCAAGGCGACGAUCCGUAACUGGUCUGAGAGGAUGAUCAGUCACACUGGAACUGAGACACGGUCCAGACGCCUACGGGAGGGAGCAGUGGGGAAUAUUAGACAAUGGGCGAAAGCCUGAUCCAGCCAUGCCGCGUGUGUUAAGAAGGUCUUCGGAUUGGAAAGCACUUUAAGUUGGGAGGAAGGGCAGUAAGUUAAUACCUUGCGGUUUUGACGUUACCAACAGAAUAAGCACCGGCUAACUUCGUG